GAAAACGUGAAGAGAAGUUCUGCAAGGUCAUGGUCAAAUUAAAGAAGUUGUGUUCAAAACAGAAAGCAUAAUGUCACUACUCACGACUACAAGAGACCAGUGUGUAACUAUCUGAGUGCUCAUCUGGAUACUUCAUUAGGAUCCCAAGACAUCUGGGGAGCAGCAAUGGAAGGAAGGAAAGAACCCUGCGUGUGUCGAGUGCCUGUUACGUGCUCGCGUUGCGCUAAGCCCUUUCCCAUAUGUUAUCCCAUGUAAUCCCCCCAAAACCCUGCCGGAGUGGAAUUAUUCUUCCCGUUUCACAAAUGAGAAAACAGUAGCUCAGAGAUGCUAAGUUACUUGCCCAGGGUCCCGUAGACGGCAAGCCAGUAGUUGCGGAAUCUGAAUCAAGAGAAUGACAUCAUUGAGGGGCGGUUUGGGGGGUGGCUUUAGUUGCAGCCCUCAUCUCUAGCAGCCCUCUUCCCUACAAUUACUGUAAAACAAACACGCAAUCUGAACAGGAAGAGCCUGCAGGAGAUAAAAUGAAAAUGCAAUCCCCUGCCAUUGCGCUUUCAGUGAGGUGACUGCCCCCAACCCUGUCUACACGGGUCUCCCAGAGUCCACACUAAAUCAAUAUAUUUGGCUCCAAAGACCACGUUCUUCCCAACACCGCCAGGAUGCCUCCUCUCUCAGACCCCUACCAGGAAGACGUUCAUUGGCUCGAAGCUCCUACUAGGCAGAGCCAAUCAAUCCAUGUAGAAUUCCCCUAGUGGCACCUGGCACCAUAGAUCUCAAAAUGUCACCAGCCUGCUCAAAGCCACCAGCCCUUUAAAUGCCCCGCACAUCCCAGGGUACAGUGAUGCGUCGUAGCAUGGCAGGUAAGCAGCACUAGGUUGAAGAAGCACAGGGCUCACGGUGUGGAUUGAGUUUCAAUUUACUUGAAACCUCUGUGGGCCGACGUUCAGUUCAUUUUAGGUUCCAGCUAAUUUUUUCCAAGCUCUAAAUGUGGAGACCAGAGGUGGUUAAUGUGGCUGUCGUGACACAGGCUGGUCCCUCAGGGCCACUCUAGCCUCCUCCUUGGAAAUGUGCCGUGGAUGUGGGCGUGGGGUUCCCAUCAGCCAGGGACUCGUAGUCUAGGUGGAAAUUGGUUUUCAGAGACCAAUGGUCACAAGUAAACAUCUUGUGAGUAAACCAGCUAAGAGUCCAGGAAUUCAGUGUCAUAAAUAGGUAUAAACACCUUUUACUUUCUCCCUCCCUUCCUCGGGUGGUUUACAUACCACCAACGGUUUACAUUGCUGGGUCUCCGUGUGAUGUCACAGCAUUUGGACACAGAGGGUCACAUUCUGAUCCUCACAAGCACAGUGUUGCUACCCCUGUUUUAUAGGUGAGGAAUUGGAGACACCAGAAUGUUCAGGGCUUCACCCAAAGUCCCAGAGCUGGUGAGUCGUGAAAAGGAGGGUCUCAGCCUUCAGUUUCAGGCAAAGAAAAGGGCUCACGGGCCCUUGGAGGGGCUGCGUCAGUUUCGCUGUCCUGGAAGGCCGUCCUGGCUGGACAAGAGCACGGUGGCCCCGAGUUCAGCCUCAUGCUCCUUGGUAACCACGCACCGUCCCACAAAGACACCACUAGCUCCUGGGGAGGGAGGUGUGUUCCAGGCACGGUGUCACCUCCAGACACCAGGGUUUCGGGCUUCUUCUGGUGACGCAUGCAAGGGUCGUCUGAAGGUGCCUGGUCAGUCAUCGUGAAGUCGGGGUGACCAAAGCAGAGCAAGAGAGACAGUGCCUCGGCAAAGCAGUGGUCCCUGUCAGCCUCUGAACCACCAACAUCCCCAAGCUACCGUCCCUACGACUCAGAGCCUGAGAAGACAGCCAUGGCCGGUGGUGUUCCGGGAAAGCAGGAAAUUUGGACAAGUGGAAUCUCUACAGAUGCAAAUCUCCGCCACGAAAGACAGCUUUGCAGGACGACUUCUGUUUGCUGGCUCUCCCAACAGCCAGCUCAAAAUAUGUCAGAGAAGUAUAUUUUCGGGUGAAAUAUUUUGAUUCCCUUCAGUGCAAUCUGUGAUCUCAGGGGCUGACGGCAGAGACGGUACCUGAAGGCAAGGUAAACAGUUGUCUCCCACAAGCAGAGGCUACCUGGCCCCCCAAGGACGUAGAAGGGCCCCCCAGUUCCUGCACCUCUCGCUGCCUGGGCAGAUGGCCCUGGGCGAGUGCAGCCUCUCCAGGCCUUUCCCGUGUCUACUCUUCACCCCCAGGAGCUCUGCUCCUUGAGAUAAGACCCCCUCUUCCCUCUACCCAAUGGGGUGUUCUUCUGAUCUCAAAAUUCUUUCACUUCUAGGGCUUGACAUACAGCGGGUUCUCGAAUAUUCAGUGAGUGAAUGAACCAAUAUCUCACAUCACACCCAUAAGAUUCGGUGGGGCAGGUGUUGUUAUCACUUCUCUGAGGAAGGGUGAUGAGCUCAUGGUCUUAGAGUUGGGAGUCAACCUGAGACAUCUGCUUUCUGCUCCCGCCCCCGGCUGUCCCCUGCCUCCCCUGCUACCAGCUCGAAGCAUCGUUGGGGUCCGUAAGGAACCGAUGCUUUCCUGUGUGGCCUGGCCCCGAGGUGCCCGCCACCCCAAGUUGAGACGCACCCCGAUUGUGAGAGGCGGGAAUUCCGGGGACUGCUCCCCGCGUGUUCUGCGCGAGUGAUCGUGGGCUCCCCUCGCCAACAAGUGGCACUAAAUGUUUCUUGCAGAAGGGGUGACAGGUUGUGGUCCUGGCUCUGUGCCCGAGAGGCCCCCUGAGAGCACAGGGAACUACCUGGGACAUUUUCUCAGAAUUGCUCCCGGGGUGAGAGGCGGGCUCCUGGGAACCGCAUGCGGCCGCCCUGCCCUUCAGGGUGAAGUUCAACUUCCGGAGCCGGUGUCAGCCCUAGUCGCUCACCUCCCUUCCUCGCUCCCUGCCGGGCCUGGCCCCCACACCGUCUCAGCACCGUCUCCGCCCUCCCCACGCCUCGUCCCCCACGGAGGCAGCCCCCGCCCCCACUGGGAGUGGUCCCCUCUUUCCAAACACGCGGCCUGCGUUUCGGGGUCUCCUGCAAACUGGAACGCGGGAUUGGCAAGAUCCUGACGUGGGUUUCCUCUUUCGUUUGCAGUUAGAAACCGUGACCACAAAAGCGACGUCCACAGCUCACUGUAAUAGGCACUUGCGUAAUAGAGUUGGGGACAGUGUUUGGGGGAACAGGAUGGGGCAGCUCUGUCUUUCCAACACUUGCGGGAUUCAUUCUGGUGUGGUAAGAAAGCCUUGCCCGGCCCUAUGAGAGAGAAGAAGGUAUUUCCUGGGAGGGAAAGCAACGCAGACACUUGCCUUUCUUCCUUCCCUGUGCUGGCUCCUAUGCACCCCGCCCCCUCCGCUGAAGGGACAGUUGUUGCAUCUUUAGCUGCCUUUGCUUUGCAAGAUGUGCCGCAUUGAUUCGCCUUAGUGUCAGGGUGAAGCACUGAGACCCUGGUCAGAGGUCAGAGUGCAAGUGUUCAAAUCCCAGCUGCAUCACCCACCAGCUUCGUAACCUGCCUCAGUUUCCUCAUCUGCAAAACGGGGAUAAUAAUAGGCCUUAACUCAUAAAUGGGGAUAAUAAUACCUACCUCAUAUUGUAAGGAUUGAAUGAGUUACUAUACAUAAAGCUCUUAAAAUCGUGCUUAGCACUGUGUUUGCCGUUGUCACGAUCUACUCGGACUCUCUGUUCGGCUCCACUUUGCACAGCUGGCUGUGGACAUUUGAGAUUGCCAAGUGCUCAGUGGCCCGACAGGCUGCUUCGCCUGCAGUGUGUGUACACGGGGCCGUCUUCCUUUUCUGGACCUGAGCAACAUCUCCCAGGUCUGCGCACUCCAGGGGUGGAUGCAGCGUCUUCGCCGCUCCUGAGGGAGAGGCUUUUAGCAAACGGGAACAGACUCCUGACACCCUCGUGGCCCCAUGUGAUAACAUCCUUUCCACUCGCAGAGAACAGCAGCAAGAUGAUUUCCACGCACUCACUGUCACCGGCCUUGUAAUGCCAUGGCCUCAGCUGAGCAUGCAAGGCUGGCGUGUUUCUGGCUCCUCCAAACUCUUAGCUGGAAGCUCAACUUCAUGUGGUCAAGACUUGGACGGUGUUAAGACCGGCAGGAUGAACAGAAUGUUAUGACUCAUCUUUUCCUGCUGUGCAGGGCCUUUGACAUAACACACGGGGCCGUUCUCUCCGUAGGAGGAUGAUGGGGGACAAGGGGCCAGAAGGCACUUUGCCUUUACUUUUUGUCCAUGGUACCUGGAGGGCAAUGUCCCUGCAUUUUUCUAAUCCGAUUAGUUGAGAAUCUGCAGCCUGGGCCAGAGGGCUGGAUUCUAACCCCAUCUCGGCAUGCUGCCAACCACACACUCUGCACAUUUUGCACAUCUGCACAGUGGAGCUGGUGACAGUGCCUACCUCAGGGAACUGUCACGAGGAUUAAAUGAGUUAGUGCACAGGAAGGCUUUACAACAAUGCCUGAAAGACAGUAAAUGUGUACCAUUAAUUACAUUAUUAUUUGACUAUAUUUCUGCUGUACAGAGCUGCCGUUGCCCGGUCAUAUGUUCUAACAAAUAAACGGUUCUGACAGCCAGGGAACUGUCUUGGUGUUUGAUGGGACUCAGGGACAAAGGACACCACAGACCCUCAACAGAAUGAUGGCCCCCAAAGACUCCCAGAUCCCAACCACCAGAACCUGGGACAUAGGUUAUAUGGCGAAGGGAUGUGAAGGCUGCAGAAGGAAUUACAGAUGCUCGUUGGGAAACCUUAGACAGGGAGAUGAGCCUGGCUUCUCAGGGUGGACCCGAUGCGGUCACAGGAUGCUGAAAAGUGGA